ACGUAGGGGGCAAGCGUUGUCCGGAUUUAUUGAGCGUAAAGGGCGCGCAGGCGGCGCUUCAAGUCCGUUGUGAAAUUUCAGGGCUUAACCCUGACGGGUCAACGGAAACUGAAGGGCUAGAGUGCAGCAGAGGAAAGCGGAAUUCCCGGUGUAGUGGUGAAAUGCGUAGAUAUCGGGAGGAACACCAGAGGCGAAAGCGGCUUUCUGGGCUGUAACUGACGCUGAGGCGCGAAGGCUAGGGGAGCAAACAGGA
rnacentral:rRNA from 1 species